UGGGGAAUAUUGCACAAUGGGCGAAAGCCUGAUGCAGCAACGCCGCGUGAGUGAUGAAGGCCUUCGGGUUGUAAAAGCUCUGUCUUUUGGGACGAUAAUGACGGUACCAAAGGAGGAAGCCACGGCUAACUACGUGCCAGCAGCCGCGGUAAUACGUAGGUGGCAAGCGUUGUCCGGAUUUUACUGGGCGUAAAGGAUGCGUAGGCGGAUUUUUAAGUGAGAUGUGAAAACCCUAAGCUUAACUUGGGGACUGCAUUUCAUACUGGAAAUCUAGAGUGCGGGAGAGGAGAAUGGAAUUCCUAGUGUAGCGGUGAAAUGCGUAGAGAUUAGGAAGAACACCAGUGGCGAAGGCGAUUCUCUGGACCGUAACUGACGCUGAGGCAUGAAAGCGUGGGUAGCAAACAGGAUUAGAGUACCCUGGUAGUCCACGCCGUAAACGAUGAGUACUAGGUGUAGGAGGUAUCGACCCCUUCUGUGCCGCAGUUAACACAAUAAGUACUCCGCCUGGGAAGUACGAUCGCAAGAUUAAAAGCUCAAA
rnacentral:rRNA from 1 species